AAGUCGUAACAAGGUCUCCGUUGGUGAACCAGCGGAGGGAUCAUUAUAGAGUUCUAAACUCCAAACCCAUGUGUACCUACUCUUGUUGCUUCGGCGGCUGAGCUCUAUCCCAGUUGGCAAUGUCAUACACUACCCUGUAGCGGCUACCUAGGUAGAGAUACCUAGUAGCAGUUACCCGGUAGUGGGGGGUAACUCACCGCCGGCGGCCCAUAAACUCUGUUUUAUUUUGAAAUUCUGAAUCAUAAACUUAAUAAGUUAAAACUUUCAACAACGGAUCUCUUGGUUCUG
rnacentral:misc_RNA from 1 species